AUUGAACGCUGGCGGCAUGCCUAACACAUGCAAGUCGAACGGGGCAGCAAUACUAGUUGUCGGCGAGCGGCGGACGGGUGAGUAACACGUAGGAAUCUGCCCUUAAGCGGGGGAUAACCAAGGGAAACUUUGGCUAAUACCGCAUAAUCUCGAGAGAGCAAAGCUGCCCGCAAGGGUGGCACUUGAGGAGGAGCCUGCGUCCGAUUAGCUAGUUGGUGGGGUAAUGGCCUACCAAGGCGAUGAUCGGUAACUGGUCUGAGAGGACGACCAGUCACACUGGGACUGAGACACGGCCCAGACUCCUACGGGAGGCAGCAGUGGGGAAUAUUGGACAAUGGGGGCAACCCUGAUCCAGCGAUGCCGCGUGAGUGAAGAAGGCCUUCGGGUCGUGAAGCUCUUUAGGUUGGGAAGAAGUGUAUUGGCUGAAUAAUCCAGUACAUUGACGGUACCGACAGAAUAAGCACCGGCAAACUCUGUGCCAGCAGCCGCCGUAAUAC
rnacentral:rRNA from 1 species